GGCCCAAAUUUGGAGUAAGGUAGAUUAGUAAGGUCAGCUGAUCCUACUAUUCUACUUUACUUCGAAAUUGNCGCCG
rnacentral:pre_miRNA from 1 species